rnacentral:tRNA from 1 species
GCCUUCGUGUUGUAGUGGUCAGCACGCUCGACUCGUAUUCGAGAGGUCCGUGGUUUGAGUCCAGGCGAAGGCG